rnacentral:tRNA from 1 species
GGGCCCGUCGUAUAUUGGUAUUAUACCCGCCUGGCUUGCGGGAGAGCCGGGUUCGAAUCCCGGCGGGUCCA